rnacentral:rRNA from 1 species
UACAGAGGGUGCGAGCGUUAAUCGGAAUUACUGGGCGUAAAGCGUGCGUAGACGGUUAUUUAAGUCGGAUGUGAAAGCCCCGGGCUCAACCUGGGAAUUGCAUUCGAGACUGAAUAGCUAGGGUGCGGUAGAGGGAAGCGGAAUUUCCGGUGUAGCGGUGAAAUGCGUAGAUAUCGUAAGGAAGACCAGUGGCGAAGGCAGGUCUCUGGACAGUUCCAGACGCUGAGACACGAAGGCCAGGGGAGCAAACGGG